GAUGAACGCUGGCGGCGUGCCUAAUACAUGCAAGUCGAGCGAACAGAUGAGGAGCUUGCUCCCCUGACGUUAGCGGCGGACGGGUGAGUAACACGUGGAUAACCUACCUAUAAGACUGGGAUAACUUCGGGAAACCGGAGCUAAUACCGGAUAAUAUAUUGAACCGCAUGGAUCAAUAGUGAAAGACGGUUUUGCUGUCACUUAUAGAUGGAUCCGCGCCGCAUUAGCUAGUUGGUAAGGUAACGGCUUACCAAGGCAACGAUGCGUAGCCGACCUGAGAGGGUGAUCGGCCACACUGGAACUGAGACACGGUCCAGACUCCUACGGGAGGCAGCAGUAGGGAAUCUUGCGCAAUGGGCGAAAGCUUGACGGAGCAACGCCGCGUGAGUGAUGAAGGUCUUCGGAUCGUAAAGCUCUGUUAUUAGGGAAGAACAAAUGUGUAAGUAACUAUGCACGUCUUGACGGUACCUAAUCAGAAAGCCACGGCUAACUACGUG
rnacentral:rRNA from 1 species